AUCUUGUUAUAUUACUGAUACAGAAAUAGUAAACCAACAUGAACGUGCUGAACUGUUUUUUAAACUGGAUAAAAUAACUGAUGUGGACGAUCUUUACGAAAUAAAGAAACCCAAUGGUAUUAUUCUAUUCCUAGGUUUUCCUGGCCAGUUUAAACUUUUAAACAGGUGGAUAAAUGAAUCAUAUAGAAUCAAUGUAGCUGUCAACAAUAUAACCUCAUUUAUAUUUCAACUAGAGGAAGUAACGUCACACGAUGCUGGUGUAUAUUGUUGUGCAUCUGGGGAACUUGAAGUACCUGGUUGUGGUAUAAAACUCAUAGUUACAGAUAAACCAAGUAUAAGAUUAGUUCCACCCGAUGAACAACCAGUUCUACAACAAGUGAAUGAUAAAUUAUUAGGGGAGCUAACUCUGACUUGUAACGUUACAUCAACAACCGAACCAACUGAUCAUAAUUUACCUAUGAUGUAUAUAUGGUUUAAACAUGGCAUAUAUUAUGGUAAUGGUAGUAUACUAAACGAUAGAGAUGUUGAUAUAAAUGAUAAAGGAGAUGAUAUAAUCUGUAUAGCUACAGAUGAUCCUGAUUGUAAAACUAGUUUACAGGAUUUAACACCUGGUUCUACACUGAACACAGUAGUUAAGGGACAUACAAGAUGUAAAGAUGUUUUGGGUACCUCUGAUGAUUUUAUUCUUCAACCAGAAUAUGGACCAUAUGAUAUACAAUUAAUCUAUGAUGAUACAAAUCUAAAACCUGAUGAAGAAAUAACGAAACGUGUAGGAGAGGAAUUAACAGUUAAUUGUAUGAGUGAUUGUGAUCCAGCAUGUAUUAUCAGUUGGUAUAAAGAUGGGAAGAUUUUAAGUUAUAAUACUCAACUCAUUCUACUAAAUCUACAAGAAUCAGAUGAUGGAGAUUAUACAUGCACAGUAUACAAUAUACAUGCUACCAGAAAUGUA